UACGUAGGGACCGAGCGUUGUCCGGAUUCAUUGGGCGUAAAGAGCUCGUAGGCGGCUGUUCAAGUCGAACGUGAAAACUCGGAGCUCAACUCCGAGCCUGCGUUCGAGACUGGAUGGCUAGAGUCUGGUAGGGGGAUCUGGAAUUCCUGGUGUAGCGGUGGAAUGCGUAGAGAUGCGGAGGAACACCGAUGGCGAAGGCAGCCCCCUGGGCUAGCACUGACGCUCAGGCACGAAAGCGUGGGGAGCAAACAGG
rnacentral:rRNA from 1 species